rnacentral:sRNA from 1 species
CUGCUUGUUGCGGACAUAUGAAGUGGAUGUGAGUGUCGAUUCCACCAGCUGUGAUGAUCUUGCCCUCGCCAGCCACAACAUCGGUACAGCUUCCAACAACCAUGCCUUCAGUGAUGCCAUCCAUGACAUCGGGGUUUCCAGCCUUGCCGAUGGCCACAAUCAUGCCAUUCUUGAUACCAAUGUCGGCCUUGUAAAUUCCACUCCAGUCCAGAAUGAGCGCGUUUGUGACCACCAUAUCCAGAGUUUCUUCAUCGGAUCGCCCAGACGCCUGACCCAUGCCUUCGCGCAG